rnacentral:rRNA from 1 species
GAUGAACGCUGGCGGCGUGCCUAAUACAUGCAAGUCGAGCGAACAGACGAGGAGCUUGCUCCUUCGACGUUAGCGGCGGACGGGUGAGUAACACGUAGGUCACCUACCUAUAAGACUGGGAUAACUUCGGGAAACCGGAGCUAAUACCGGAUAAUAUUUCGAACCGCAUGGUUCGAUAGUGAAAGACGGCUUUGCUAUCACUAAUAGAUGGACCUGCGCCGUAUUAGCUAGUUGGUAAGGUAAAGGCUUACCAAGGCAACGAUACGUAGCCGACCUGAGAGGGUGAUCGGCCGCACUGGAACUGAGACACGGUCCAGACUCCUACGGGAGGCAGCAGUAGGGAAUCUUCCGCAAUGGGCGAAAGCCUGACGGAGCAGCGCCGCGUGAGUGAUGAAGGUCUUCGGAUCGUAAUACUCUGUUAUUAGGGAAGAACAAACGUGUAAGUAACUGUGCACGUCUUGACGGUACCUAAUCAGAAAGCCACGGCUAACUACGUG